ACAGGAAGAACAAGAAGCCCAUAGCAGCAAAUGCAUGCGUUAUACUGAAUAUCUCAAAUUUAUUAUCGUGCUACAAAUGAUGUUUGUCCAGAUUAUCCAUGCAUUUGUGGUACUUUAUCUUAAUAUAUAUUUUACUCACUGCACAGUUCUUCAUCAGCCUGACUCUGUUAUCCCAGUUGACCUUGGUGCCAAUGUGACUCUACAGUGCUUUUUCGCAGAAAACUGCAGCAUGUAUGAUAUGUUUUGGUACAAGCAAAUCAAGGGCCAGCAGCCAUGUGCUGUUGUUAAGGUGGGAGCAGUUGCUGAUCCUAUUUUUUCAUAAAGGAUAUAUGAACACUCACUUCAAUAUCAUCAGGUCAAAGAAAAGACUUUCUCUUAGUAUCAUUAACAUUAGUCACUGGGAUGAGGCGGUCUAUUACUGUGGAGUGGAGAUUUUCUUUGAUAUUGAGUUUGGAAAUGGAGUAUUUUUGACAUUAAAUUUAUCAUCUUUUAACUCUGCAGCUUUAAAUCCAACAGAGAGAGAUUAUCUUAUCGCAGUCGUUAUCUUUCAGUGCAACAUUAUUGGAAUAUUUGCCUUGUGGAUCAUAUGUCUGUGCAUCAGGAUUAAAAAACAAAAGGCUUUAUCUCCAGUUUAUACCAUCUCCAGUCAGCGUCAUAGAGGAUACAUACCUGUCCAUAUUGAAAUAUCUAACGCAAAGAGUCACACAUCCAGUUUUUGAUGCUAAUCAAGAUCAAGAAGAUUGAGGGGACAAUGAUGCCCAGUAAAAUUUGGAUCAUUUGAGAAUGAAACAUUGGCCAUAUUUCUUUAAUAUAACACAUUUGUAACAAUUACUGUAUAAGUACUGUAUAUUUGAUAAUUCAAUAUUGUUUGUUUCAAAUUUACAAUUUGAAUAAAUGAGCAUUGGCAACUUUUUAUGUUCCA
ensembl:lncRNA